UACGGCCAUAUAACGUUGAAGCACCGGUUUCCAUACGAUCGCCAAAGUUAAUCAACGUUGAGCCUGGUUACUACCUAAAUGGGUGACCGUUUUGAAUACCAAGCAUUGUA